rnacentral:lncRNA from 1 species
GGAAAGUGAGUUGGGGUAAUUAUUUCUUUUCCCUCUUCACUGCUGAACUACAAUUUUGGCUUCAGCUCUGCUUGGCCCCUUCUCUACCCGGCAGCUCUCAUUGGACUCAGGAACGUAGAGUCCUCCAGACUCUACGUACAUGUAGCUGAUGUAAAUUCACCUGAGGAGUUCCUGGGGGAGACUGCAAGGAGAUGUCAGAGGGACCCAGGUACCUAGGAAUCUCUCUCUGGUCACUGAUGUUCAACUGGAAGCACCAUUUCUCUCAGAGUAGCUUCUUUGGUUUCUCCAGAAGAAAUGAUAAGGAUCAGGAGGGACUGAAAGUCAAACAACCUAUCUCCUAAGUGAAGCGAGGAUGUGACAAG